rnacentral:rRNA from 1 species
GACGAACGCUGGCGGCGUGCUUAACACAUGCAAGUCGAGCGGUAAGGCCCUUCGGGGUACACGAGCGGCGAACGGGUGAGUAACACGUGGGUGAUCUGCCUCGCACUUCGGGAUAAGCCUGGGAAACUGGGUCUAAUACCGGAUAUGACUUGCUGUCGCAUGGCGGUGGGUGGAAAGAUUUAUCGGUGCGAGAUGGGCCCGCGGCCUAUCAGCUUGUUGGUGGGGUAAUGGCCUACCAAGGCGACGACGGGUAGCCGACCUGAGAGGGUGACCGGCCACACUGGGACUGAGACACGGCCCAGACUCCUACGGGAGGCAGCAGUGGGGAAUAUUGCACAAUGGGCGAAAGCCUGAUGCAGCGACGCCGCGUGAGGGAUGACGGCCUUCGGGUUGUAAACCUCUUUCGACAGGGACGAAGCGCAAGUGACGGUACCUGUAGAAGAAGCACCGGCCAACUACGUG